rnacentral:lncRNA from 1 species
UGAUCAGUGUAUCAGUAUGAAAGACCAGUAUGCAAAAUGUCACAACCUUCUCCAUAUUUAUGUAGUGACUUGCAGGAACAGUUGUAUCACAUCUUUUGUCAGUUUAAAUAAAUUAUUUCUUAUUCAUGUCAAACUCACUUUAAUUAUAAAAGUACAAAGAAUAGUAGUUUGUUUUUAUUUUGUAUAGAACAGAUGCUCAGUAGUUUUUCAUGUAAACUUGCAUUCAGUUCACUUGACCAUGAUUGCUGGAUUCCUCACCAGCUACAUAAUGUUCUUUACAAGUUACAAACAACUUCUACACAUUAAAUGAAUAUAUUUUAAACUUUAAAGACGUUUUGUUAAGAAAGUCAUGCUUUUGAUUGAAACAUAUUUACACUUUUAAUAUAAAUCUUUGUGUUCUAUGCUUUACUCAUCUUUAUCUCACAUUUUAGCUUUUUUAAAAAGUAUUUUUAAUUUUACAGAUCAACUAUUAACCCACUGCUAACCCAUCAACUACUGAGGAACAUCUGGCAUACUGCUAUGACCUUGAACAAAAAAAGUAAUUCUCAAGGCAUGCCUACAUACCACAUGUUGGAAGAGUUUGUGGAAUGGCUGAAGGAUUAAAGAAUUUCCAGAAAAAUAAAAUUCAUUAUGAAUUUGUGAAUGCAAAUGAAACCCAAAGAACUAACAUAUUUGCUGACCAUCCAGUUGAAAGUAUGCCAAUGGAAUAAAGUGCAACUGUCACA